rnacentral:lncRNA from 1 species
CGCGCGCUGUCCCCCGGAGGCGUCUGGGUGUGCGGAGCGCGCGCGCGCGGCUCGGAGGCGCACCUGUGAGGUGUCCCUUGAGGAGAGGGAGGGUGGGUGCGCGGAGCCCGCGGCCUGGGGCGCUUCAACCCCUCACUUGGAAGCGCCCCGCGUCCCAGCAGAGUCCGCCGAGCAUCCUACUCAGGUGAUGAGGAACCCUUCGCGCCCCGAGCGCAGAACGCCGCUGCCGCUGGACGCCUCCAUUGUUUGACCACAACAAGGGCCGGAUUCUCACCCAGACCUGCAAAUCCAAGAGAUACAUCUCUCUGGAAGAUAAGAGAGCUUCUUCCCCAAGAUCAAAAAAGGAGACUGGAGUGAGACUCAUGUAGGGAAUCCCCAGAAGGAAGGAUUGGCACACCUGGAACCCGAGGAGCUUGCUU